rnacentral:rRNA from 1 species
GAUGAACGCUGGCGGCGUGCCUAAUACAUGCAAGUCGAGCGAACAGACGAGGAGCUUGCUCCUCUGACGUUAGCGGCGGACGGGUGAGUAACACGUGGAUAACCUACCUAUAAGACUGGGAUAACUUCGGGAAACCGGAGCUAAUACCGGAUAAUAUAUUGAACCGCAUGGUUCAAUAGUGAAAGACGGUUUUGCUGUCACUUAUAGAUGGAUCCGCGCCGCAUUAGCUAGUUGGUAAGGUAAUAGCUUACCAAGGCAACGAUGCGUAGCCGACCUGAGAGGGUGAUCGGCCACACUGGAACUGAGACACGGUCCAGACUCCUACGGGAGGCAGCAGUAGGGAAUCUUCCGCAAUGGGCGAAAGCCUGACGGAGCAACGCCGCGUGAGUGAUGAAGGUCUUCGGAUCGUAAAACUCUGUUAUUAGGGAAGAACAAAUGUGUAAGUAACUAUGCACGUCUUGACGGUACCUAAUCAGAAAGCCACGGCUAACUACGUG